rnacentral:rRNA from 1 species
UACGGGGGGGGCAAGCGUUGUUCGGAAUUACUGGGCGUAAAGCGUGCGCAGGCGGUUGUGCAAGACAGAUGUGAAAUCCCCGGGCUUAACCUGGGAAUUGCAUUUGUGACUGUACGGCUAGAGUGUGUCAGAGGGGGGUAGAAUUCCACGUGUAGCAGUGAAAUGCGUAGAGAUGUGGAGGAAUACCGAUGGCGAAGGCAGCCCCCUGGGAUAACACUGACGCUCAUGCACGAAAGCGUGGGGAGCAAACAGG